GGCAUGUUGGCAGUGUGGUUAGCUGGUUGUGUGUCAAUCUAUAUAUCACGACCGCUAUCGGCACUGCAAUUAUGAC
rfam:Trachymyrmex septentrionalis contig20139, whole genome shotgun sequence.